UGUGCUGGGAGCGCCUGAGCC
rnacentral:miRNA from 1 species